rnacentral:tRNA from 1 species
UCCCUGAUGGUAGGGUGGCUAAGACUCUGGACUCUCAAUGCAGGGGGCCUGGGUUCGAUCCCUGGCCAGGGAA